AAAGACUGCUGUUUCUUGGGAAAAAUGACUACACCACUUCCACACACAUUAACAACUCAUUUCAGGGCUGGCGAGGAACAUAGAAGGAACUAAUGAGUAUUUUCUGGUACUGAGACUAUAUCAGAUGGAGUGAUGGAGGACAGACACUGAGACCUCACAGUGAUACUUGGAUUCUCAGUGUCACCACAGCCUUCCUCAGGGCUUUAGAGCCAAUUCUGGGGGUUUCAUGCUUCUGUAGUUCAGGGAAGGGAUUCCUCACAGUGGAAGGCAGCUGCUCUUCCUCCCAUUAAACAGAGGAAGACAUGCAAAUGGGGAUCCUCCCUCAGGCAUGAACCCAGCACAAAACCUGUGUCUGCUGCUCUUGGAGAGGAGCUUCUCCUUGUGUGGCCUUUCCCAGCUGAGGACUGACACUGUAGAGCCUGAAUCAUGGGAUUUGGACUCAAAGGCAUUUUCAUUCUGAUGAUUUUGCAAGGUGUCCAUUGUGACAUUCCGCUGGUGGAGUCUGGGGGAGUUGUGAGACAGCCUGGAGGAUCCUUGAAACUCUCCUGCAAAGCUUCUGGAUUCACCUUCAGCAGCUAUGACAUGCAUUGGGUCCGCCAGGCUCCAGGAAAGGGGCUGGAGUGGGUCUCAGCAAUUAGUAAUGAUGGAAGUGGCACAUACUAUGCAGACUCUGUGAAAGGCCGAUUCACCAUCUCCAGGGACAAUGGCAACAGCCUGCUGCACCUGCAGAUGAAUUCCCUGAAAGCCGAGGACACAGCCACGUAUUACUGUGCAAGAGACACAGUGAGGGAGAGCAGUGAGAGAGCAGACAAAAACCUCCUCUCCAGAGAGUUCUGGUGGAGAAUGACAGAGAGGGAACUCCAGAACUCUGAGCACAAGGAGCCCAGUUACAACAACAUGUGAAGAGGGAGGCUGACAAGAGUCUUUUCAGGGUCUGUGAUUUUCUCACAAACCCCAGUGAACGUCCCUCUCUCUGUCUCAAUCCCUUUUUGUCUCUGCCGCUCUUUCCUGCUUCUGAUAAGCAGAGGCUCAGGGAGGAGACGUAUUCUCGUAAUGGUUUAUGUAUUUUGUAUAUCGUGACUCUAAUUUCUCUGACGUUGUCAGACAUAAAGCACAGACGAGGUCACAUAACAAAUGAGGAAUCACUGAACAUUCACUACAGGAAUCCUGCAGGGUUUUCAUACACUCUGAGCACAGGGAAGCACACUUGGGUGGGGAAGUCAGCUGGUGUGCUGAGUCAGUCUGGGGGAAACCUUUAAAAACCUUUUUUUUUUUUUAACCCUUACACAGGCAGCUGCCUAAGAAGGUGGGAUUCGCGCUCUCAGCCUCUUUUCAUUUCAAUCAGAGUUUCAGUGAUUCUAUCAGAAUGUCUUUUGACCUCAUAGGAAGAUGCUUGCUGUGGUCUAAACAAGCAGGAUUUAUGGAAGGUCCUCCCAAUGCUUCUCUAGGGAUGGGAGUGGAAUAAACUCCUUUUAACUUCCA